CUGACUGAGAACAUGAUGCAGAUCUGGAUGCAAGGAUAUUUUACUGUAGAAAAGCGAAAAGAAGAUACUUUUUUAAGGGAUAUUGUGUUUCUGCCGGUGUCGGAGCUACUCCUUAACCCUCCAAAUCCCAGGCUGAUAAAAGAGAGACCUUGAAGGCGUCGUACAUUCAUUAUGUCUUUGAAACGAGUUUAACACAGGAGGAACAAUGAGAAGAAGCUCAUGUUGGUAUCAUCAAGCAUGCUAUGGAGAUUAUCAAUUUUCUCACUGAUCAGAACCCAAUUUAGGAAAAAGAUUGAAGAUAUCUCGGAGGAAAGGCGUCAUCGACUAUUGCUACUAAUAGAACAUAGGUCUUAUCCUCACUCCAAGUUUUAU